GACGAACGCUGGCGGCGUGCCUAAUACAUGCAAGUAGGACGCAGUUGCGAACGGGUGAGUAACGCGUAGGUAACUACCUAUUAGAGGGGGAUAACAAUUGGAAACGAUAGCUAAUACCGCAUACUAGUAGAUGGACCUGCGUUGUAUUAGCUAGUAGGUAGGGUAAUGGCCUACCUAGGCAACGAUACAUAGCCGACCGGGGGAGGGGGUCGGCCACAAUGGGACCUGGACACGGGCCAGACUCCUUCGGGAGGGAGCAGUAGGGGAACUUCGGCAAAGGGGGGAACCCGGACCGAGCAACGGCGCGUGAGUGGAGGAGGUUUUCGGGUCGUAAAGCUCUGUUGUUAAGGGAGCGGUACUUAACCAGAAAGGGACGGCUAACUACGUGCCAGCAGCCGCGGUAAUUC
rnacentral:rRNA from 1 species